rnacentral:tmRNA from 1 species
GGGGGCGAGUUAGGCUCGACGGGGGUGUGAGGUGCUGGAGCUGCGAACCGAGCCCCGCAACUCGUAAAUCUGCGGGAAAGAACAACUGCCAACAACGAAUACGCUCUAGCUGCUUAAUUAACGCGGCUACGCCCUCCGGAACUUUUCUCACGGGUGCCGGGCAGGGUGUCACAGCAGUGAGAUACUUCGCCAGGAGUGUCUCGUAAUGGCGGGGGAAACUUGCGAGACUGGCUGCCCGAGAGAGUGUCGGUUCUCGACUUGGGCGGCGAGAAAAGAAUAACCGACUAUGUUCGUAGAGGCUCUUGCAGCUGCACUUUCGGACCGCGGUGCAAAUCCGCGCGCCUCCACCA